rnacentral:rRNA from 1 species
AGUGAACGCUGGCGGUAGGCCUAAUACAUGCAAGUCGAACGGCAGCACAGUAAGCGCUUGCUCUUACCGGUGGCGAGUGGCGGACGGGUGAGGAAUACAUCGGCAUCUACUUUUUCGUGGGGGAUAACGUAGGGAAACUUACGCUAAUACCGCAUAUGACCUACGGGUGAAAGCAGGGGAUCUUCGGACCUUGCGCGAUUGAAUGAGCCGAUGUCGGAUUAGCUAGUUGGCGGGGUAAAGGCCCACCAAGGCGACGAUCCGUAGCUGGUCUGAGAGGAUGAUCAGCCACACUGGAACUGAGACACGGUCCAGACUCCUACGGGAGGCAGCAGUGGGGAAUAUUGGACAAUGGGCGCAAGCCUGAUCCAGCCAUACCGCGUGGGUGAAGAAGGCCUUCGGGUUGUAAAGCCCUUUUGUUGGGAAAGAAAAGCAGCAGAUGAAUACCCCGCUGUUCUGACGGUACCCAAAGAAUAAGCACCGGCUAACUUCGUG